CUCUACUUUGAGGCACUCCGUGUCAGUGGGUUCAAAGUUACGAGCUGCAUUUGAAUGCAUUGCUAGAGCUGGAAAAUCCGAGCUGUGGAUUGGCCCGUGAAGAGACAGGAAGUUCGCUUUAGACAGGAAGUAGUUUGUUUUGAAACCGGUUUGGAAACUUCAAUCUGGAUCCAAACUGUUUCGUCUCCUGAAAACCAGACACAGCUCGAGCUCAGAGCCGCCAUGACACUUCACCUGAGCCGGGUACUCAGAUCAGGGGUUUUGCUCCCAGCAACUUCUCCUGGAGGGCGGCUGCUUAUGUGGACUCGUACUGUUGGGGAGCCGUGCACACACACUCUCUACCUCUGUGGCUUCACAAGGGACACACACACACACACACAAAUUCAAAAUAAACGUAGUUCAAACUAAACAUAGAGUUUUUUCACUUGUCUGAGUUACUGAUACAUUCCUUUAAAAUGUAAUGAAAUAUAUGUGCUUUUAUUUCUAUAGAUCGUGUACUUCAUAUUCUGAAAUCAAAUAUGGCAUCACUCGAUCAUCACCACUAGGUGACAGUAUCGUCCAGUGAUUUUCGGUUUGAUGGUGACUGAACGGAUGUACACAGACUCACACCAGGACGGACAGACACACUGACAACACACAACACAGACUCACACCAGGACUGUGACGGACACAUGUGAUGAGAAGUGACUUUUCUAUUUCAGACGAUUGAUGUACACAUGUUGAACAGAGUGUAGUUCAUACUCCAGGUCAGUAGGCGGCAGCACUCAGGAUGUCGGUCACUCACUACAAGUAAACAAAGAAAGCGGAAGUGGUUCCAUUCAGAGGAGAAAAGUGCGCGAUUAAGGUUUUUUAGUUUUUUUCUGAAUUUCAGAGGUAGAUCAAACUUCAUUUGUUUCAGUUUCAUUCAUCUUUGAUUCACUUGAACUGACAGUUGAGCUGUUUUUAGAAGUUAAAUGAGAUAAAACAGACGGUUUUAGUUCAGCCUUUCAUAUGUAAAUACCGCACUGCAUGAUGGGAGACGUAAGCACGGUUCAUCAGAUAGAGUAAAUAAUGUCUGUCCGGUGUUGUACUAAACAGGAUCGUGUGUGUGGCGCUGCUGCUGAGUCCCACUCCCCUGCAGCCGGUGCUUCAGUGGACGUAGUGAUAGUCAGCACCGUCAGUCAUGAUGGUCUGUGUGUGAGUCAGUUCCCUGUCUGUGACGUGUACAACUCAUACUUACCUGGCAGGGGAGACACCAUGAUCAAGAAGGUGGUUCACCCAGGGCGAGGCUCAGCCAUUGCACUUCGGCUGUCUGACCCUUGCGAAUUCCUCAAAUGUGGGAAUCUCGACUGCAUAAUUUGUGGUAGUGGGGGACUGCGUUCGCGCUCUCCCCUGAUAAA